GGGGUGAAGUCGUAACAAGGUAACCGUAGGGGAACCUGCGGUUGGAUCACCUCCUUACCUUAAAGAAGCG
rnacentral:rRNA from 4 species